UGGGGAAUCUUGCACAAUGGGCGCAAGCCUGAUGCAGCGACGCCGCGUGGGGGAUGAAUGCCUUCGGGUUGUAAACCCCUUUCGGCAGGGACGAAGCGAAAGUGACGGUACCUGCAGAAGAAGUCCCGGCUAACUACGUGCCAGCAGCCGCGGUAAGACGUAGGGGACGAGCGUUGUCCGGAUUUAUUGGGCGUAAAGCGCGCGCAGGCGGCCACGUAAGUCGGAUGUGAAAUCCCGGGGCUCAACCCCGGAACUGCAUUCGAUACUGCGUGGCUCGAGGUAGGUAGGGGAGAUCGGAAUUCCUGGUGUAGCGGUGGAAUGCGCAGAUAUCAGGAGGAACACCGGUGGCGAAGGCGGAUCUCUGGGCCUUACCUGACGCUCAGGCGCGAAAGCUAGGGGAGCGAACAG
rnacentral:rRNA from 1 species